rnacentral:rRNA from 1 species
UACGGGGGGGGCAAGCGUUGUUCGGAAUUACUGGGCGUAAAGGGCUCGUAGGCGGCCAACUAAGUCAGACGUGAAAUCCCUCGGCUUAACCGGGGAACUGCGCCUGAUACUGGAUGGCUUGAGUGUGGGAGAGGGAUGCGGAAUUCCAGGUGUAGCGGUGAAAUGCGUAGAUAUCAAGAGGAACACCUGCGGCGAAGGCGGGUUGCUGGGCUGACACUGACGCUGAGGCGCGAAAGCCAGGGGAGCGAACGGG